UUGGGGAUCGUGUACACAGUGUUUACUAUAUUUUAACAAUUACUAGUGAAAAUAGAGUAUUAACAGUAAAUAUAUAUAGGUGCGUAUGAUAAAGAUAUUUCAGACCAUUCAUCCAUCCAGCCUAAACACAAACGACGGGAAGUCGGUCGAUUCGACCACGAACUAAUAUCCCUAAUGAUGAUUCGACCGUUUGACGAUUCUAUCACCUAGGACAGUGGUUCUCAAAGUGUGGUCCGCUGAUAUAAGUCAGGUGGUCCGCGGCUAUGGAGGUGUUAAUACAUGUAUUACCACACAAUAUGUUCUUGCUCACACGAGGGACAGGGAGGCACCAACUAAACUGUUGAUGCAGUACUGGGAUCACCCAGGACAACGACAUACCCAGGCACUGAUAUCGUUAAGUUGAAGAUAAUUGGACAAAAGUGAACAACGGCCUUGAGCCAUUUCACCAAAACAGGGACACAUAUCCCUGGUGAAACGAGAGCUGUCUUUCUUGCACGCAUGCGAGGCGAGUGGGCUCGCUUGCGAGAGGAUGAAAAACAAAAAUUCAAAAAGGAUGCAAUAUCCUGCAGAGGGCAACUUCCUCAAGAUGAAGGACAAAAAAACUGCAUACCUGAGGAGGGUGUGCUCUGAAUUGAAUCAGCUGGUAUGUAACACUUAAUACAAGUUUAUUGUACCGUACAUUAGGAAAUGUGGGUAAUCCUGUGCUGGAAAGUUAUUAUGUAUAUUUUUCUCAGUUGACUGUGGGAGCUCCCAGCAACAAAGGAAAAUUUCUAUAUCUGUUUCGACCAGACAUAGACAAUAAAGAUGUAUUGUAAAACUUCUUUUACCACAUUUCCAGACUGACUUCAUGAAGCAGCUUGGCUGGUCGUCUUUUUAUAAGAUAACGACCAAGAGCAACGCUUAGCCUCUUGUGAAGUUCUCUGCUGUUAGUCUCAACAACCUAAACAAUAAAUGUGACUAAACCGGAAGCUUUGUACACACCGCCUUGUUUUAGUAGUUAACUGGGGAAAAAAUCAUCUGCCAGCAGUCCAAUAAUAUAAGUUUGUGCUUCUGCAGAUAUGCACACCAGAACAUGAUCAGCAAACUUUCACAUUGCUAGCCCCCUGUGGAGCAAAUUUGUGGGCCUAUGGAGCCUGAACUGAAAUUAAAAGUUUAUUAAGUUAUAUUUUUAAUCGACAGAAUUCUUAUUGAGCAGUUUCCCUAUAACUUGUGAUCAGAAUCAUGCAUUUUCACUUAACUGCUACAAUUUGUUGAUACAAAAAAUAAUUAUAGCACCAUGAAAUGGAUUUGAUGCUGUUUCUUCAUAAGAAAAAUUUCCUAUCAAUUUUGCAUAUUCCACUAUUUUGUAUGUAAUGGUGUUUACACUGAAACAAAAUAGGUUGGGAUGGAGAGAAAGAACAAUAAUUUACUUUACAAGAUAGCAUGAAAAAAAAGAACACUAGUGCUUUAUAAAGAUGAUCAGAUCUGUAAAGAUAAAAGAUUUCACAGCCUAUUGACUUUAGAAGCAUUGAUCUGACUAAGAAACCUCUCUGCCUGCUUUAAAGACUAAACCAAAAACUGAGUGAAAAAUUCUGGUCCUUUUAUGAGAUGCAAGCCUUUGAGCAUUGGAAUCUUCAGCCCCUUACAGGCUGCUAUACCCUCGGCCUGGCAGGAUCUGCAUGUCCUCUUGUGGGUUUUCAGAGAGCUGUCCGUCGUUUUCCCACCUCAGUCACCUGGGUCUGUACACAUUUAGCCCUAACAUAAUACUUCAAAACAUCUCACAGCUCUCCAAAGCCCUGCAUAAAACCCUCAUCAAACCUGCAGAAGCCUCGCUCAAAACCUUCUAAUCAAACCUUCACCUUCUCCCAAGCUUUCACUCUUUUACCACCUAUUGAACAAAGGUGGCACACCAGAAAACAAUCUUACAUCUUCCAUAUGUUUAAUUGUAGGUGCUAUUAUCAUUCCUCUUAUGCUUGGUAAUUACCAGUAGACAAAAGAUAUUCAUACAGUUGGUUGUAACUUUGACAUUAACUUGUCAGUCUACAUUCCUGGGGCCUGAUUGUAAAGCAGGACAAUUGCCAGAGUCUGGGACUAUACAAAAUGUGCCACCAAAAACCAUGAUAUGUAUAUAUAAAGCAGGAUACACCACAUUUUUCCUGUUGCUAAAGUCCAAGAAUACAGAAAACAUAAAGCAACUAUUUUAUGCCAUAUGAUUUUUCAUUGGUGACAUGGCACUUGCCCUGUUCAUGUGUACAAGACAGAAGCUUUGUGGUAUGUUUUUUUCCUACACAUUUUGGGGGACCUGUUUUGAUUCAAAUUAGCAUUGCAGUUUGAGCAUUGACUUUAAUCACCUGCUCUUUUUCAGGUUCUGUAACAGUCAAAUACUGAGAGUGAGCCUAUACACCCUGAAAUGGGCUUGAUUAAAAUUUUUCUCAAAUAUUUAAAUUAAAUGAUGGAUUGUAUUAGUAUUCAUACAUAGGUGAUAACACAAGUAAGCAAGGCUUCUGUUUUCUCAGAUGACACAAACAGGAAGAGAUCACUCAGUUAAAAGUGUACAAACUGAUACAAGUUUUAAUAUUCAUUUAGUAUAUACAAUUGUUUUAUAAGUUUCUUUUAUAAACAUAAUCUAAGCAUCAUGUACAUCAGGUUUCAAAUGCAGAAAUAUUCACAUACUUGAAAAAUUCAUCAACUUGCUGUUGAUUGUACAGGACUGCUUAGAUUUAGAUACUGAACCUAACCUUUCUAAUAUUUCUUUGAGAAGGUUUUUUUUAAAGUAAUUCAAGAACAGGUUUUUUCAGUAAUUCAAAUCUCGUGUAACUCAUUUAUUUGACCUACCAAUUUUUGUUUUUUAGAUUCUGUUUUAAUGCUAGCAUACUGAGAUAUCUGUGGAUGAUGACAAAUGUGUUGACCUGUUCAUAUUGAUAAAAAUAAAUUGUAUAAAAAUGUCAAGCAUAUAAUUAUUUAAAAGAAAACCACACAUCUUUUUCUGUUAACAUUAUUGCACACUACGUUUGAAUAAAAUGAAUUGGUGAUUUUGUUCUUCAUUUUUCUUGUCUAGUUGAUCUUGAUUACUUACACUCAAAAAA